rnacentral:lncRNA from 1 species
AUUUCCAACAUUGCGUCACCUUCACCACUCACUUUCAUUUUUUUCAUUUAUUCAAUCUUAUUUAAUUAUUCCAAUACCAACAUGCCCCAAACCUUAGCCAACUAAACCCAUUUUCAGCUUUAGACCGAAAUUAGCCUCGUCAAAAUCCGUGAGUUACGAACCCGAGCCAUUUAACUCCUAAAUUUCAGUACUUAUUACUUCUUCAGAUUAAGAGUAUGAUUUUGUCAACUCACAAAGUCAGAUCAACACUAAGUCAAAAAAGACGUCGUUUGAUUUAGUGUGAUUGGACGUACAGUUGGAAUUCCGAAAGGAACGUUUCUAAUCGGUUUUCUGUGAACACAUUGGCGUGCUAAGUGGAGAUUGCUGUUUGGUUCCGGAAGGGAAGUAGUAACCGGAUUUAAAUGUCCCACGCGAUUGAGGGCAUUGGUUCGAGCUAGGCUCUUCUAGAACGCAAAGCUGCCGGAGUUCUA